UACGUAGGGUGCAAGCGUUGCCCGGAUUCAUUGGGCGUAAAGCGCGCGCAGGCGGCCCUCCAAGUCCCGCGUGAAAUCGCCCGGCUCAACCGGGCGGGGUCGCGGGAGACUGGGGGGCUCGAGCGAGGGAGGGGGCAGUGGAAUUCCCGGUGUAGUGGUGGAAUGCGUAGAUAUCGGGAGGAACACCAGUGGCGAAGGCGGCUGCCUGGACCUCUGCUGACGCUGAGGCGCGAAAGCGUGGGGAGCGAACAGG
rnacentral:rRNA from 1 species